UGCGACCUCAUUUCGAACAUUAAACGCAUCAAACGAAUGCAAACGAAAACAAAACGAAUACUGUAAGAUGUAUCUUUAUUCAUUGGUAUUUUAAGUUAAUGCAGAAUAAAUAGCCUUGGUUCAGUAUACUCCUACUCCUCCAUCGACACGAAGAGACUCGCCACUUAUCAUGCCACUCUCGUCACUCAGUAAGAAUACUACGGCGUUAACAACAUCUUUUAUUUCUGCAA
rnacentral:lncRNA from 1 species